AUGAACAACUUUGAAGGAACGAUGGAGCAGAUUCGGCAGCUGGUGAUGGAGCAGCAGACGAGGCCGCAAGUCAUGGUGGAGCAAAUCCGCCAGCUGAUUCAAGAGCGUCUGGGACGGAAUAACGGAAGAUCCGACGACAAAGAUGAAGGAAGCAAAGGAGCACAAUAUCGCGAGAUUCUAGACCCAGGAACCGCCGUCUUAGUGGCGGAAACGGAUCUCGUUUCAUGGGAAGGAGAUGACGGUUAG